rnacentral:misc_RNA from 1 species
AACGCAGAUUGCGCCCUUUGGUAUUCCGAAGGGCAUGCCUGUUUGAGUGUCUUAUAAACCUCACCUCUAUAGUUUUCUAUAGUUGUGCUUUGGGCGUCUGCCGUUUACUCUGGCUCGCCUUAAAUGUCUAAGUGGAUUUUGCAUGAUUAAGUCUUUGCAGAGAUGUCCACUCUAAUCAACCUUAUAUUUUGACCUCAAAUCAGGUAGGACUACCCGCUGAACUUAA